UCGGGGAGCCUUUUCCAGAGUGCGAAGAAAUGCUGUGCAUCCCCGCAGAGUUCUCCCCGACUCCUCCUUCAGCCUUCCGCCCGCCUCUCGCCCCUCACCCCGCGUGCACACCCGCAGGCUCCUGUUCUGUCUGUCCUUUAGCCAUAGCGCUGACGCGCAUGGCCACCCCCCACCCCUCACCAUCUGCCUUUCAGUUUCUACGAAUGAGAGACGUGACACAAGAGGUCCCAAGGGAGCAAACCUGAAAGCCAGCGCCACCUGAACGCACAGACGGCCAGGGGGCGAGAUGAUACUCCCCACUGUUUCCAGAUAGAAGAAGCAUCGCUUUCUUCAGCAGAUUGAUAGAUGAAGCAUAAAACAAGACCAGAUGCUGUGGUUUCCAGGAUGCACUUGGCUUCCCAUGCUUUAUAACCUGGAGCAUUUAUUGCUGGCAUCCUGAGUCUCCAUCAACCAAGGUGGUACAAAAACAGCACUCUACUUGGUUUGUGUUCUGUGCCCUGAAGCAGAAAUGCGUUUAAUUGUACAUUGCAAAAUAAACAGAUAUCUAGAGGAGAAGGUUAUUAAAAAUAUUUUGCGCAGUUUGGAAGAACAAACUAGAGGUCAGGAUUGCUUGACCUAGCGUCUCCAAGCAAACCCCAGUCAAGUAAGCUGCCAAGGUGACCUAGGAAGAGGGUGGCCCUAUGAGCUCUAGCAGCCAAUGGCCUGGGACCGCACCCUGGGAGGCAGCCAAGACAAAGAACGAGUCAAAAAUGAUGCUGUUCCAGUUUUGGGCCUAGACCUGGCAACUUUAGUUUUUGCUCUCUUGGACGAUAAUCACCACGUAAAGAACACUGACAGCUGUGCUGAAGAGGAAGGCCUCAUGGAGGCAGCGUGUUUCUGGAGGAUGAGACCCUCUGGAGGGAGACAGGCCCAGCCUCUCGCUAUUUCAGCCACUCCAGCUGAACCACUAGCCCUGUGCUCGAAGUCGUCUCGGGUCCCCCAGCCCCCGUCAAGCUGCCGCAGCCAACAAACACGAAGGAAAGAUAAGCUGUCACCACUGUGUUCUGUCCAUAGUGCAGAAUGUGAGCAAGAAAAUGGUCCAUGCUGUUUCAAGCUGCCACACUUUGGGGUAGUGUGUUAUGCAUAAUAAAUAAUGGAAAUCGAUGUCUGGGAGUUGGAUGUUGGCUUAAAAAAAUCUAAGACACGUGGCACCGGCUUUGGGAGCAGGCAUUGGGUAGAGGUUGGAGAGGUGAAGAAGAAACUCUCUUUUUUUUUAAUUGACUAUUUUUUUUUAAAUUUCUAUUUUGAAACAAUUUUAGACUUACACAAAAGUUGCAAAACUGGCACAGAGUUCAUGCAUGUUCUUCACCCAGCUGCCCGAAUAGUGAUAAAUUGCAUAGCCAGAGAAUAAUGAUCAAAACCAGGAAAUUGACAUAAACCACAGACCGUGUAGGAACUUUGCCAGUUUUUCUGGUAAUGUUCUUUUCCCGUUUCAGAAUCCAAUCCAGGAUCCUGCGUUUGCAUUUAGUUGAUGUAUCUCCUUGGUCUGGGAAGGAGACUCUUAGUGGAGGCUCUGAGGGUCGUGAGAAAAUUGUAUUGCAGGCUGGAGAAGUGGUGCUGUGUAGUCGCAAAAUGUUUGGCAUCCCUUGUGAGCAGUAAAACACAGAAGACAGAAAAUGUACCUAAUGAACUUGUAGAUCUGGCAAAGGGGAGUUUCAAGCUGCACGUUCAGAAUAUCAGUUGGCUUCUUGUAGUGAGGUGUGAUGGUGUUACUAGAGAGAGAGAGAGAGAGAUGUGUUAAAAAAGGAACUGUUCCGUUUUCAAGCAGAAUGUAGAGGAAAUAGGGCCUUGGAGAUUCUGUGUUGUCAGCAAUAGUCUCAAAGGAAGAAAUGGCCUCAGGGGCCUGCCUUUCGAAUGUGGCCUUGAGGUAGAAAUCCAAUCAAGACUAUGUUGAAGCCUCUACAUGUUAAGAUGUUGUUUCAUAGAUCCUCUCAUCUAGCCAAAAGGGCUCCUAAGAAGACUCUUCAGGGGAUUCCAACAGCAUCUCCUUUGACAAGGCCCAAAGUAGACAGAAGUUUGUUCUUGGAAGAAUUAUAGAUGUUGCUUUGUGGGCAGAGUUGUCGAAGGCAAGAAGUAAACUCUGUUAAGACUCAUAGGAAAUCCACAAAAUGUUGAAGACAACUGUAUUGAUGAAACCACUGCUAGCCUGAACUAAAGGGGAAAGAGAGAGUUCAAAAUGUAAACAAACAAACAAAAAAAAACCAUCGGGCCCCCAGCUUUCUGUGGACAGGACCCAGGCUGAGAGAGCUAUUGGACCAUAAAGGGCAGUCAGUGGCUUAUGGAAAAGGAAGCCUCAAAAGCCAUAGCCUGCAUCCCGGAGUAGGGAGCCAGGAACAGUGGUUUGGGAAGCAGCUCCCGGGGAGAAGAACCAGCCUCUAAUGGCGGGGCGGUCUGGGUUCCCAGAGUGAGGGUGACAGUGCUCAGCUGGCUUUCAGAACUGCUAGGGCUGGUGGCUGCUCUGUGCCUUCUGUCUCCCCCGCUUUGAACACAAGUGUCUGUUUUACUUAACUUAUCCCUGUCUCAGCGUCGUAUGUUGUGUCUAUACCUCGUCUUUUCAGCUCACAGGUCUCCAGAGGAAGAGGAGCAGCAUCGAAAAUGCCUCCGCCACGCCUACUGUCUACCAUUAGAUCCUGGCCCUUAGAGCCAGUGCUACACAGAAUGACAAUUUGGGGGGAGGGAGUGUAUUCUGCAAGUCUGUGUGUGUGGGUGUGUGGGUGUGAAUUGUUGUGGCCAAAGGGUGGCUUAUGAUAGAGUGUUUCCCCAUAUGACUGCCGACAGCUCCUCUCAUUCCAGACACUCCUUCCAUUAGGGAGUGUGGUCUCUUUCCUGUCCCCUUGGGUCUGGGCUGGCCCUGUGACUGCCUUUGGCCAGGAGAAUACAGGGAAAGUGAUGUUCUGGGACUUCCAAGCCCUGGCUUUCACUAGCCUUGUAGCUUCCACUUUCUCUUUCUUGGGAUCCAGGCUGUAAAGAAAGUAUAAAGCAGCCCGGGCUGGCCCACGGAAUGAUGAGCGAUCAUGCUGCCCGCCAUCUUGGCUGUUCCAGCCCCAGCCAAACUCACAGCUAGAGGUGACCACACGUCUGACCCCAGCUGUGUCAUGGGAAGGCAGAAGAGCUGCCCAGCUGUGCGCGUCCUAAAUUGCAGAAGCGUGAGCGAAGAAGGGGUGGUGGUCCUCUUCAGGCACAGAGCUUACGGUGGUUUGGUAGGCAGCAGUAGGUCGUUGAAGCCAUUACCAAAUGUCAGCGUUCUUUCGACUGCUCUAACUUCACUCCAGGGGCUGAGAAGAGAUUGUAACAGCAUCAGAUAAAGAAGCCAAGUUUCAAGGAGACUCAGUUCCAUAAAGGCUAGACCCCAUAGGCCACAGUCACCGCUCUGCCUGCAGAGCUUUGCACAGAACGAGCACGUGAUAUACGCCCAGAUACAUGUUGAUUGGACAAUUGAAUGAAUGAGUGGAGAUAAAAGAUGCCACACCAUGAAAAAGACGGAAAAGAUACUCUAAAC